ensembl:snoRNA small nucleolar RNA SNORA15
GCAUGGCUGAAUUCUGUUUUGCUCUGGAUGUAGUAAAUACAGUCAGACACCAUGCGACAUGAAUGCUUUCACAAACUGACUCAGCAGGAUGAGGGUGCUCAUUGUGCUUCUCAUUCUUACGUCAGAGUGAAUACAUCA